rnacentral:rRNA from 1 species
CUUGUGCCAGCAGCCGCGGUAAUACGAAGGGGGCUAGCGUUGUUCGGAUUUACUGGGCGUAAAGCGCACGUAGGCGGACUAUUAAGUUCAGGGGUGAAAUCCCGGGGCUCAACCCCGGAACUGCCUUUGAUACUGGUAGUCUCGAGUCCGGAAGAGGUGAGUGGAAUUCCGAGUGUAGAGGUGAAAUUCGUAGAUAUUCGGAGGACACCAGUGGCGAAGGCGGCUCACUGGUCCGGUACUGACGCUGAGGUGCGAAAGCGUGGGGAGCAAACAGG